UCCCUGGUGGCUCAGACGGUAAAGCAUCUGCCUACAAUGUAGGAGACCAGGUUCAAUCCCUGGGUUGGGAA
rnacentral:tRNA from 1 species